rnacentral:rRNA from 1 species
UACGUAGGGGGCUAGCGUUGUCCGGAAUCAUUGGGCGUAAAGAGCGUGUAGGCGGUCCGGUAAGUCCGCUGUGAAAGUCGGGGGCUCAACCCUCGAAUGCCGGUGGAUACUGUCGGGCUAGAGUGCGGAAGGGGCAACUGGAAUUCUCGGUGUAGCGGUGAAAUGCGUAGAUAUCGAGAGGAACACCUGCGGCGAAGGCGGGUUGCUGGGCCGACACUGACGCUGAUGCGCGAAAGCCAGGGGAGCGAACGGG